AGUGAACGCUGGCGGCGUGCUUAACACAUGCAAGUCGAACGGAUGAAAUAAGCUUGCUUAUUUCGUUAGUGGCGCACGGGUGAGUAGUGUAUAGCUAACCUGCCCUUUAGUGGGGGACAACAGUUGGAAACGACUGCUAAUACCCCAUACUCCUUCUUAUCAUAAGGUAAGUCGGGAAAGAUUUAUUGCUAAAGGAUGGGGCUUUAUUGUAUCAGCUUGUUGGUGGGGUAAUGGCCUACCAAGGCGAUGACGCAUACCUGGUCUGAGAGGAUGAUCAGGCACACUGGAACUGAGACACGGUCCAGACUCCUACGGGAGGCAGCAGUGGGGAAUAUUGCACAAUGGGGGAAACCCUGAUGCAGCAACGCCGCGUGGAGGAUGACGCAUUUCGGUGUGUAAACUCCUUUUAUAAGGGAAGAUAAUGACGGUACCUUAUGAAUAAGCACCGGCUAACUCCGUGCCAGCCGCCGCAGUAA
rnacentral:rRNA from 1 species